rnacentral:rRNA from 1 species
UGAGGAAUCUUGGUUAAUGGACGAGAGUCUGAACCAGCCAAGUAGCGUGCAGGAUGACGGCCCUAUGGGUUGUAAACUGCUUUUGUUUGGGAAUAAUCGACAUUACGUGUAAUGUUUUGCAUGUACCAUUCGAAUAAGGACCGGCUAAUUCCGUGCCAGCAGCCGCGGUAAUACGGAAGGUCCAGGCGUUAUCCGGAUCUAUUGGGUUGAAAGGGAGUGUAGGCGGUUGGUUAAGCGUGUUGUGAAAUGUAGAUGCUCAACAUCUGACUUGCAGCGCGAACUGGCUGACGUGAGUACACACAACGUAGGCAGAAUUCAUGGUGUAGCGGUGAAAUGCUUAGAUAUCAUGAAGAGCUCCGAUUGCGAAGACAGCUUACGGGAGCGCAACUGACGCUGAAGCUCGAAGGUGCGGGUAUCGAACAGG